rnacentral:tRNA from 1 species
UCGGGGUAUGGAGUAAUUGGCAACUCUACGGUUUUUGAGGCCGUCAGUUUUCGGUUCGAAUCCGAAUGCCCCCGCCAA